GACGAACGCUGGCGGCGUGCUUAACACAUGCAAGUCGAACGGAAAGGCCCUGCUUUUGUGGGGUGCUCGAGUGGCGAACGAGUGAGUAACACGUGAGUAACCUGCCCUUGACUUUGGGAUAACUUCAGGAAACUGGGGCUAAUACCGGAUAGGAGCUCCUGCUGCAUGGUGGGGGUUGGAAAGUUUCGGCGGUUGGGGAUGGACUCGCGGCUUAUCAGCUUGUUGGUGGGGUAGUGGCUUACCAAGGCUUUGACGGGUAGCCGGCCUGAGAGGGUGACCGGCGACAUUGGGACUGAGAUACGGCCCAGACUCCUACGUGAGGCAGUAGUGGAGAAUAUUGCACAAUGGGCGGAAGCCUGAUGCAGCAACGCCGCGUGCGGGAUGACGGCCUUCGGGCUGUAAACCGCUUUCGCCUGUGACGAAGCGUGAGUGACGGUAAUGGGUAAAGAAGCACCGGCUAACUACGUG
rnacentral:rRNA from 1 species